rnacentral:tRNA from 1 species
GCGGGUGUAGUUCAAUGGUAGAACGAAAGCUUCCCAAGCUUUAGGAGAGGGUUCGAUUCCCUUCACCCGCUCCA